GACGAACGCUGGCGGCGUGCUUAACACAUGCAAGUCGAACGGAAAGGCCCUGCUUUUGUGGGGUGCUCGAGUGGCGAACGGGUGAGUAACACGUGAGUAACCUGCCCUUGACUUUGGGAUAACUUCAGGAAACUGGGGCUAAUACCGGAUAGGAGCUCCUGCUGCAUGGUGGGGGUUGGAAAGUUUCGGCGGUUGGGGCUGGACUCGCGGCUUAUCAGCUUGUUGGUGGGGUAGUGGCUUACCAAGGCUUUGACGGGUAGCCGGCCUGAGAGGGUGACCGGCCACAUUGGGCCUGAGAUACGGCCCAGACUCCUACGGGAGGCAGCAGUGGGGAAUAUUGCACAAUGGGCGGAAGCCUGAUGCAGCAACGCCGCGUGCGGGAUGCCGGCCUUCGGGUUGUAAACCGCUUUCGCCUGUGACGAAGCGUGAGUGACGGUAAUGGGUAAAGAAGCACCGGCUAACUACGUG
rnacentral:rRNA from 1 species